UGGGGAAUAUUGCACAACGGUCGCAAGCCUGAUGCAGCCAUGCCGCCUGUGUGACGAAGGCCAUCGGGUUGUAAAGCACUUUCAGCGGGGAGGAAGGCGAUAAGGUUAAUAACCUUAUCGAUCGACGUUACCCCCAGAAGAACAACCGCCUAACUACGUUCCAGCAACCUCUGUAAUACGGAGGUUGCAAGCGAUAAUCGUACAUACUGGGCGCAAAGCGUACGCACGCGGUCUGUCAAGUCGGAUGUGAACUCCGCGGGCAUAACCAGGGAACCGCCGGCGAAACUGGCAGGUUAGAGUGGUGUAGGGGGGGGUAGAAUUCCAGGCGUAGCGAUGAAAUGGGUAGAGAUAUGGAGAAAUAUCGGUGGCGAAGGCGGCCCGCUGGACAAAGACUGACAUUCAGGUGCGAAAGCGUGGGGAGCAAACUUG
rnacentral:rRNA from 1 species